GAGAAGUAUGCAUUUUGGUAUUGCACUCGUCCUGUAAAGACGAUGGAUUUAUCCAUUUUGGGUUCGAAUCCCAAACUUCUCA
rfam:Smittium mucronatum strain ALG-7-W6 scaffold-25691, whole genome shotgun sequence.